UACGUAGGAUGCAAGCGUUGUCCGGAAUUAUUGGGCGUAAAGAGCUCGUAGGCGGCUUGUCACGUCGACUGUGAAAACCCGGGGCUCAACUCCGGGCCUGCAGUCGAUACGGGCUGGCUUGAGUGCGGUAGGGGAGACUGGAAUUCCUGGUGUAGCGGUGAAAUGCGCAGAUAUCAGGAGGAACACCGGUGGCGAAGGCGGAUCUCUGGGCCAUUACUGACGCUGAGGAGCGAAAGCGUGGGGAGCGAACAGG
rnacentral:rRNA from 1 species